GGGAAUAUGGCUUAGUGGUAGAGUGCUUGCCUAGCAUUCAUGAAGCUCUGGGUUUGAUUCCCCAGCACUACCA
rfam:Dipodomys ordii contig_55089, whole genome shotgun sequence.